rnacentral:rRNA from 1 species
AUUACUAAGCGGAGGAAAAGAAACUAACAAGGAUUGCCCUAGUAACGGCGAGUGAACCGGCAUCAGCCCAGACUGGAAAUCGCUUCGGCGAGUUGUACAGUUGAGACAUAGACCUUACACAGCGGAGCAGGUGUAACUCAGUUGGAACGCUGGACCGUAGAGGGUGAUAGUCCCGUGCCACUUGUUCCAAGUGAGAGGUCGUGUUCCACGAGUCGGGUAGCUUGGGAUUGCUGCCCAAAGUGGGAGGUAGACUUCUUCUAAGGCUAAAUACUCACAAGAGACCGAUAGCGAACAAGUACUGUGAAGGAAAGAUGAAAAGAACUUUGAAAAAAGGGUUAAAAUACUUGAAAUCGCUGAGGAGGAAGCAGUGGGCUCUGCAGCGCUGGCAGUGCAACUAACGACAUGUCGUUGGGGGAGCUGACAGCACAACUCAGUCUGCGUCUUCGUGUUGUGCCUGAAGGCUGUUAGCCCACAGAGCCAACACUAUGGAUUCAGGCUGAGUCGCGGUGUCCACUGACCCGUCUUGAAACACGGACCAAGGAGUCUAACAUGCGUGCAAGUAGUAGGGUUUAAACCACACUGCGCAACGAAAGUGAGCCUUGCCAAACUAGCAGCAAGGGCCGCGUCAGCGAGCUCAGCACAUAUGUUGGGACCCGAAAGAUGGUGAACUAUGCUUGGGAAAGGCGAAGCCAGGGGAAACUCUGGUGGAGGCUUGUAGAGAUUCUGACGUGCAAAUCGUUCUUCUAACCUGAGUAUAGGGGCGAAAGACUAAUCGAACCAUCUAGUAGCUGGUUCCCUCCGAAAUUUCCCUCAGGAUAGCUGGAACAGUGCAGUUUUAUCGGGUAAAGCGAAUGAUUAGAGGUUCGGGAGUUGUAACAACUUUCACCUAUUCUCAAACUUUAAAUUGGUAAGAACGCAGAGUUGCUUCAUUGAACUCUGUGCCGAAUGCGUGUUCCAUGUGGGCCAUUUUUGGUAAGCAGAACUGGCGACGAGGGUUCAACCUAAGGCAGGGUUGAGGCGACCAAUUGGCAGCUAAUGAGAUGAAAAGGUGUUAGUUCAUUUAGACAGUAGGACGGUGGCCAUGGAAGUCGGAACCCGCUAAGGAGUGUGUAACAACUCACCUACCGAAUGAACUAGCCCUGAAAAUGGAUGUCGCUAAGCAGCCAGCCGAUACCCUGCUGUCCAGCUUGAUGACAGUUGGACAGGUAGGAGGGCGUGGAGGCAGCGCAGAAGGCUCUGUGUGGACAGGGUUGGAGCUACCUCUAGUGCAGAUCUUGGUGGUAGUAGCAACUAUUCAAAUGAGAACUUUGAAGACUGAAGUGGAGAAGGGUUUCAUGAGAACAGCAAUUGGUCAUGAGUGACUCGGUCCUGAGGCCAGGGGUAAUCCCGCGACGACAUCGUCCAGGCCGAAAGGGAAUGUAGUUAAAAUUCUACAAGCAGGCGGUGGGUAUUGAGUGGCAACACAACUGAACUCAAAGACGUCGGGGCGAGGUCCUGGGGAGAGUUCUCUUUUCUUCUUAACAAAUCGCUGCCCUGGAGGUCUUUGCGACGAGAGAGGGCUAUCGGUUUGGAAGAGCAGCACACCCUUUGUGCUGUCCGGUGCACCUCCUUCGGCCCUUGAAAAUUUGAGGGAAAUCUUAUCGCUCGCCUGGCCGUACCCAUAACCGC